ACGCCGUGUCCCUGAGGUGACAUAAGGCAAGACCUGCGGCGCGUCAUCGCGAAGGGAACUGUAGGAAAUUUCACACAAUCAGCCGCCAUAAAACCAAAUCCGCCAAUUUAGAUCAUCUUAGGUGUCCAUGUGUCCUCGAUUUUUUGGGCAGCUGACCGGCGCGGAAGCAGAGCGCCUGGACCACGUGCACCUACGAGCAUCAACGUAAGCUGCUAACUUACAAAAUACUUGCUUCAGGAAGGUGGAUUGGGAGUUGUAGUACCUACCCGUCGUAUGAAAACAUUCACCGGUGAGUUUCUAUUUUGAAUACACGCACAUGAUGGUUUACAACAGCCAUGUUUGGUCCCAGAUUAAUUUGGCACA
rnacentral:lncRNA from 1 species